rnacentral:rRNA from 1 species
GUACACGCUGUGACUAGCAUAUCAAUAAGCGGAGGAAAAGAAACUAACAAGGAUUCCCCUAGUAACGGCGAGUGAAGCAGGAAGAGCUCAAAUUUGAAAUCUUAAAGGGUUUCCCUUUACGAAUUGUAGUUUAAAGAAGUGUUUUCUGUUGAGGUUUUGGUAAAAGUUCUUUGGAAUAGGACAUCAUAGAGGGUGAGAAUCCCGUAUUUGACCUUUACUUUCAACUUUGUGAUACACUUUCAAAGAGUCGGAUUGUUUGGGAAUGCAGUCCAAAAUGGGUGGUAAAUUUCAUCUAAAGCUAAAUAUUGGCGAGAGACCGAUAGCGAACAAGUACCGUGAGGGAAAGAUGAAAAGAACUUUGAAAAGAGAGUUAAACAGUACGUGAAAUUGUCAAAAGGGAAGCGUUUGACACCAGUGUUGUUUUUCUGAAAAUCAAUUAAAGAACUGUUUAUGCUAAGUUGUUUAGACUUUAUCAGCUAACUGUUUAGUUUUGAGCUUUUCUUUAAUGCACUUUUCAGUUAACAAGUCAACAUCAAUUUCUUUUGCUGUAAAAAAGCUUGAGGAAGGUGGCUUGAGAUUCGUCUUAAGUGUUUAUAGCCUCUUGCCUAUGCAGUCGGAGAGAUUGAGGUCUGCAGCGUAGAUCCUUCGGGGCUAAAUGCAUUUGUGCUAAGUUAUAACAUUUUAUAGACAUACUUGUUGACUAUGAUUUGUCUUGUAGCUUACUCGCUUAUGUUAUUUUACCUACGCUUAGGAUGUUGAAGUCAUCGUAUCGCGC